UCCAGAGCCUCCUUCCCCCUCCACCCCCUGCCUUUCCCGCACCACCCUCCUUCCCAACCAAGCUUGGUUGCGCGGGCGCUGGUUUCCCAGCGUCAAGAUGACGUCAGGCAUUCUGGUGUCCAUAUAAGGACACGAUCAAGGCCAGGGUGCCGAGAUAGCGGGGGGCGAGGGCGGCGAGAUUCCUGCGCCACGCCCGCUGCCGGCGCAAGUUCGCUCCGUUGGGCUGAGGCGGAGCGUGGAGGCCCGCCGGGUGUGUGGGGCUGGGCAUCGCUGGGAUGGGGGUGGCCGAGGGGAGGUUGCGCUCCUGGCCGGGCCAGCUGUCCCCAGGCGCUGCUUGGGGCGCACCCUUUCGUGCGGGGCGUGCGGUUUCCCCGCAGCCCGCCCUGCGCGGCCCGCCCUGGGCGCGGCCCCAUAAGCUUCCGCCCACACUGAGGAAAAGUGGCGACAGGCUGCGGGCGCUGCUUUCCACCCCCGCUCCGCCUCAGGUGGGGAGGGUUGUCCCUGCCGUUCCGCUCCCUGUUCGCCUUAGGUGGGGAGGGCUGUCCCCGCUGUGCCGCCCCCCGCAUGCUGCCCCUCAGGGCUGAGGGGACACGGCGGGACAGCGCUGAGGCAGCGGCAGCAGCCCCGUGGGGCUGCCUGGGGUGGCAUGUACGGGGAGAGUGAACCUCGGCUUGGGUUUUACCGCUAUGACUGGCGGUAACAGCAGGAGCUUGUUUAAAUACGCUUGGGUGAGCGGCGUGGUGUUGGGAGAAGGAGUACUAACUGUGGUCAGAGAGGAACAUAAAUCCCCGCUUUCCCGUGGCGCCGGUGUGAGAGCGUGGCUGCCAGUCCCAGCCCAGCUCGUUGUGAGCCCUCACGAGCGCUGCCCGCCCUCCGGCGUACCCCGGGCAGGGUCUCUUGUGGCACUGGCAGCACUCGUGGUAAUAAAAUAAAACUAUUCACAGCUGUGACAUUGAUGCCAUAUGAGUAACAGCUUUGAGGCAGGAUGAACAGGCUCGGGGGUUCCGCAAUUCUGCUUAUGUUCAAAUUCACCACAAAGUCAAAGCCUUUAGAGUGGCCAAUGCUUCUUGAAAAGCCACUGGCUGAAAUUAAGUAGUACUAUAAGGAGUAAUAAUGAACUCUUUCAAUAUAUGCCUGUAUGUGAUUGGUUUUUAACUGCAUAAUUGUAGAGAUCUUUAACAUUUUCAUGGGUUCUUUAUGGCUUAUAUAAUUACCUGAUUUAGUAUGCAGGCUAAAGAUUUGUAGCCAUAUAUUAGUAGGUAUAGGAGUUUACUAACAUCAGCAAACACUAAAUGGCCAAAUUAAACUUAAAAGAGAAAAUGCUAGAUGGCACUUAAUUUCUGUAUCUAUGUAUAUACUCC